rnacentral:sRNA from 1 species
UUGGAACAGGAACAGGUCUCUUUGGGCAGACCAAUACUGGAUUUGGUGCUGUUGGUUCGACCCUGUUUGGCAAUAACAAGCUUACUACAUUUGGAAGCAGCACAACCAGUGCACCUUCAUUUGGUACAACCAGUGGCGGGCUCUUUGGUAACAAACCAACCCUGACUUUAGGAACCAAUACAAACACUUCUAAUUUUGGUACAUAUAAAAAGCAGGUUUGGCUCUCUUAAAGUUACACUGACUAUACCACACGUUAUUCUCCUGAUUCGUAUGAUUGGAAAUAUUUAAAAGUUCUCAGGUAAGCGGUAGCUUGAUGUGAAGUACCAGAGGGAAAGGUUUAAAGUCCUGGAUAUGGCUUGAGAUAAUUAGUAGGCAUGUAAAUUGCCUUUCAUUUACUUUGGAUUACUUCAGCAAUAGCUGAGAAACCAUAAAGGAAACACAUUUGGUUAAGUAACACAUUGUAUGAGGCCAGGUUUCAAACCUGUGGUAGCAUACAGGAGAUAAUUGGUUAUUCUUAUUUUUGUCGUUGUUGGUUUGUUGUGUUG